AGGACGAGACAUUCCUACCAAUUUACUAGAGAACCAGUUUGGAUUUAAGUAUAACUUUUGUAUGACUGAUGCCUUUAGUGAGGGUUGAGUUUACGAAUGUACGGUUUAUUAACCCAACUCCCCACAGGCUACUGUUUGGCCGCAGCCCACGACAAAUAAAUGAAGGAUACUUUAUAAACCACCCGCGACCUUCUCUUGUGAAAACCAGACAUAAGAGAGAGAACAACGUCUAAACCUGGUCUAAACCUCCAAUGCUCCCUGCCCAACCCCCUUCCACGCCUCUCCACCAAUCACCAGGAAGCCCGGCAUCAGAACGUUCCAGGCAUUCCUGUGAUUGGUAGAUAGCAGGUUGAUUGGCAUGUCGAACAUCGACGGUGAAAUGCUGUUAAAUUUUAAACGAAUAUUUCUAAGUAACAACCAACAACUUAAAAAUAUGAUGUUGAAAUGAUCAUUAUUGUGUUGGACUGACAUGCCAGAUCUAGUUAUGAACGUCAGUUGUGCUUGGAACAUUUCAACAGACGUCGUCUUGAUCUUUCUCCUCUGGAAAGGCCAUGUGGCAGGUUUAGGUGUUCAGACGUUCCUGAGUACUGGACAGACCAUAUUUUCCAGAAUACAUUGACAAGGAAAACGCCAAGGAGUGUGGAGAUGCAUCUCAGAUCUACCUGUCUGUCUCUCUCUUCUUCACCUGUCUCACUGCCUCCUUCACCUGUCUCAAGGCCUCCACGCUGGUCUUCCGAUGACAGACAGACAGCUACCUAGCCUAAACCCCGCCCCCUUCUGAAUCAGAAUCUCCCUGGAAUGUUCCAGAAUGCCUGAACUUAGCAUGCCUGCUGCUGUUUGUGUCAUCUUUAUCAAUCAAUAUGACUAUAAGAUUUAAGUAAUGAUAUUGAUCAUUUUGGCUGAUGGACUGAGAGGAAUAAGCUGUUGACUGACUCCAUGUUUGAUGACUUUAUAAUCACAGAGAGCUGUUGACUGACUCCAUGUUUGAUGACUUUACAAUCACAGAGAGCUGUUGACUGACUCCAUGUUUGAUGACUUUAUAAUCACAGAGAGCUGUUGACUGACUCCAUGUUUGAUGACUUUAUAAUCACAGAGAGCUGUUGACUGACUCCAUGUUUGAUGACUUUAUAAUCACAGAGAGCUGUUGACUUCAGAUGUUUGAUGUCUUUCAACCACCAAAGUUGUGCUUCUUUGGACAACCGUUCUAAAACCAUGAAAGGGCUUUUUGGUUUCUUCAUCAUUUAGUGUCUUAUAAGAGAACAUUGGUUGAAGGAACAACGUUACAAUGUGAUGGACUACUAGGUGGAACAGCCAUUCUGUUAGAAGGAACAACGUUACAAUGUGAUGGACUACUAGGUGGAACAGCCAUUCUGUUAGAAGGAACAACGUUACAAUGUGAUGGACUACUAGGUGGAACAGCCUCUCAACUCCAAAGAUUGUAUUUUCUU